UGCUUUCAACCAGGAAGUUCAAGGGAGGCAGGACUUUACGGUCAAAACUGCAAAGCCGAAGCUCAAGACUGUAAGAAGAAAGUGAUCUUCAAAGAAAAGGAUUCACCCAAAUCGAAGAGGAUAUCGUUUCGCAUCAGGGACACUCGUCUCCACACCUCCUACCUCAAAGUCCUACGCACCUACCCUUCACGUCUCUCCAAAGCAACUGAAUUAAAGCGCCUACUGGCCUUGGCGGCGCAGGAUUUAAUCAGGACUAAUGGGAAAAAGCAAGGAGGAAGAAGAGGAAAGACCCGGCUGAGGCACCAGGAGAAGGGACGCACAUCCCAAGAUUUUGACUGAUUGGUUGUACGACUAGAGUUGCUGGAGUUCAAGUAUUUUCAUUUUAACUAUUCAACUGAAAGCAGUGCGUUACAACAGAACACGGGUUCCAAAGAAUUUACUGAGAAGAAGCAAAGUAAUACUUGGGAGAACUGUUGAACAGUUCAGCUUUCAUGCUGGUAGGAGGUUAAUACACAGGCAUCUCAUGAAAAUCAUCCAACAUAUAGAAGAAUAUAUAGAAUAAAGCAAAAAUCAUCAGAAACUCCACCGUCUUGGAUGACCAUAGUUGAUAUUCUGGAUGGCUUCUGUUCCGAUUGAACCUUGACUGAUGUAGCACCUAUCACCAAAUUGCUGUUCAGGAAAUAUGUCCUAAAGAAACUCCCAACAGCAGCAAUACAUCAGAGUGGCACCUCUUUACACUGGUUCUUGGUAGGUACUGU
rnacentral:lncRNA from 1 species